rnacentral:lncRNA from 7 species
AGCACAUUUCCUGCACCAGCUUAUGUGCUGCAGCAAAUGAUUUUGGAUUGAUGCCAUAAAACCGGCCUACUUCGUGGUUUAAUUAUUAUUUUAUAAUCAAGGAUGCAGCAUGAAUUGUGGAGAAAACAAUGAAAAUCUGCAGAGCCACAUCUUCAGGCUGCGCAUUAAGGACUUGGUGUACAGGGGAUGGAGAGACCUGCUUGUCCAUAACCGCAAUCAAGAGCUCUGCAGAGAAGCCCUAUGUAUCCCAAAAAUGCCUGUCAAUUAAUCACUCAUCACUCAGCAGAGUGUUAUUAGAGCUGGGGACUAAACACCUGGAUUUCAGAUGAGCGGCAUUUAUCAAUUCCAGUGGCUCACACUGCGAAGAAAGAGGAACUACACUGUGUUGCUGCCAGCAACUUGUGAAGGAUGCAAGAAAUAAAUAAACGGGAAUUUCUUUUCAAGACAGGAAAGUCAUCCUAUCCAGGCUUCUUUGGCUAUUCUACAACGUCGCCUGAAGGCCUUUAAGUGAUAUAACCUUUUGUGGAGUUGCUUUUGACAACACAGAGAAGUUGCUCUCCAUGGUAUUUGAUGAGUAAUGACAUUUGAUUAGCAUGUGAGCACUGGUUGCUGUAUAAAUGGAAGCUCUGUGCAGAAAUCGGGCAAGAUUCCAGUCUUGAAGUUGUCAAGAGCAGAGAGAACAAGAUGUAUAACAAGCAGAGGGGUAAUUCAGAUCCCUGCCAAACCUUUGGUGCUGAAGUUUUACAUGCACAAUAAUUUUUUACCCCUUUUAUUCUUCAUGGAUCUGAGCUGAGACAGGCCCAAAGCACGAGGAGGUGGCAAUGGGGUGCCACGAGCACCAUGGGGAGCUCCUGGGGCUGUGUCUGCCCUGGAAGCAGCUGAAGGCCUUAUACACAUACACAGACAUGUAUGUAGCAGCUGUGCUGCAGAGGUGGUGCUUGCACUGCUGAGACCUGCAGGAAAGAUGCAGAUAGCCAUGCUGCUUUUGUUAACUGUUUCCUCAAGCAGCCUAACUAAGCUGAUAAAGCAUCUCUGUAUCUACCCUGAGGGCUUCCUGGGCAGAGCUAAGCUGGCAUUGAGAUAGGAUUUUUUUUUAAGCAUUCAUAACCAAUGUGGUUGUUCCAGUGGAAGCUUUAUAUGGUGUACUUAGCCAUGAUGAAGAGGACUCCUGUGCUGCCAACCUUUGUACAGUGCUGUAUUUUAGGCAGGGCUUGCUCUGUUUUUCAAUUGGGAUGUCCAAUAUAAUGCACUACUGCAAUUUGUCUGUCAAUAAAAUUGCUAUUUCC